ACUCCGUGUGGCAUUUUGCUGAGUGAAUUGUACCCAUCCCUAAAUUACCAAGUUACGCAAAGAGGAGCUGACCUUGAACAACAUCUGGCAGUAUUACGUGUUGUGCAAGAACAGGAAAGACAAAUACCAAGCUCUGUGCAACAUUUAUGGUGGCAUCACCAUUGGCUAGGCCAUCAUCUUCUGUCAGACUCAUUGAAAUGCCAAGUGGUUGAUCAUGGAGAUGAUGCAGGCUGGCCACCAGGUGUCUUUGUUAAGUGGAGAGCUGACCAUGGAGCAGUGAGUUUCCAUCAUUUGGAAGUUUCAGGAUGAGAAGUUUCUCAUACCAACAAAUGUUUGCACUGGAGGGAUUGAUGUGAAGCAAGUCACCAUUGUUGUGAACUUGGAUCUCCCUGUAAACCAAGCAGAGGAGCCAGACUAUGAGACCUACCUCUGGUGCAUAGGGGGCACAGGACAGCUCUAGGAGAAAAAGGCCUCACCUACAACAUUAUUGAAGCAAAUAAGCUGUGCGUGCUUAUGAAAAUCCAGGACCACUUCAACUUUAAGCAUCUGGACCACAAAGAUGUGGAAGAAAUGGAAUAUAUAGAAUAUUAA
rnacentral:lncRNA from 1 species